rnacentral:rRNA from 1 species
AUUGAACGCUGGCGGAAUGCUUUACACAUGCAAGUCGAACGGUAGAGGGGGCAACCCCUCGAGAGUGGCGAACGGGUGAGUAAUAUAUCGGAACGUGCCCAGUCGUGGGGGAUAACGUAGCGAAAGUUACGCUAAUACCGCAUACGAUCUACGGAUGAAAGCGGGGGAUCGCAAGACCUUGCGCGAUUGGAGCGGCCGAUAUCAGAUUAGGUAGUUGGUGGGGUAAAGGCUCACCAAGCCAACGAUCUGUAGCUGAUCUGAGAGGACGACCAGCCACACUGGAACUGAGACACGGUCCAGACUCCUACGGGAGGCAGCAGUGGGGAAUUUUGGACAAUGGACGCAAGUCUGAUCCAGCCAUUCCGCGUGCAGGAUGAAGGCCCUCGGGUUGUAAACUGCUUUUGUACGGAACGAAAAGGUUUCCAUUAAUACUGGGAGCUCAUGACGGUACCGUAAGAAUAAGCACCGGCUAACUACGUGCCAGCCGCCGCCGUAACAC